UUUUUGAAAAAUUCCGCUCCUGAACUUUAUGGAGACAUUUGAAGAUUCUUUGUUUUGUAAUAGAUAUGAACUUGACCUUUAGAAUAUUUCUUCUCGUUUAAAAUAAAUUAUAAUAUUACUUACACAGAUAACUACAAACUAUUGACUACAUAAACGCCUUAUAAAUCAAAUACUCAAUAACUACAAAAUAAAAUAAAUCUGAAUUAGAUUGUUGAUAUUUGGACUAGUGGAUUUUGACAAAGUUAGAGUAAUAUUUAAUAAUGUUCUACCUGUCAUAUUAGCACAUACCCCGGCGGGAGCUUCAGCACGUCAACUCACACAUUAUGCACAACUGAUGAAACGCGAUCGGUGGUUUGGAAUGUA